AGAUCGAAAGCUUGCUUUGAUGCUGGCGACCGGCGAAUAGGUGAGUCACGCGUGUCCAACCUGCCCUGUGCCCGGGGAUAGCCCUUGGAAAUGAGGAUUAAGACCCGAUACGUGCGCCUUCCGCAUGGCGAGCGCAUGAAACUGACACAGGAUGGGGACGCGUCGGAUUAGCUUGACGGCGGGGCGACGGCCCACCGUGGCGACGAUCCGCAGGGGUUCUGAGAGGAAGGUCCCCCACACUGGCACUGAGACACGGGCCAGACUCCUACGGGAGGCAGCAGUGAGGAAUAUUGGUCAAUGGCCGAGAGGCUGAACCAGCCAAGUAGCGUGCAAGGAUGACGGCCCUACGGGUUGUAAACUGCUUUUGCGGGAGGAUAAAGUGCACUACGUGUAGUGCUUUGCAGGUAUCCCGUGAAUAAGGACCGGCUAAUUCCGUGCCAGCAGCAGC
rnacentral:rRNA from 1 species